UGGGGAAUAUUGCACAAUGGGCGAAAGCCUGAUGCAGCAACGCCGCGUGAGUGAUGAAGGUCUUCGGAUUGUAAAGCUCUGUCUUUUGGGACGAUAAUGACGGUACCAAAGGAGGAAGCCACGGCUAACUACGUGCCAGCAGCCGCGGUAAUACGUAGGUGGCGAGCGUUGUCCGGAUUUACUGGGCGUAAAGGGUGCGUAGGCGGAUGUUUAAGUGAGAUGUGAAAUACCCGGGCUUAACUUGGGUGCUGCAUUUCAAACUGGAUAUCUAGAGUGCAGGAGAGGAGAAUGGAAUUCCUAGUGUAGCGGUGAAAUGCGUAGAGAUUAGGAAGAACACCAGUGGCGAAGGCGAUUCUCUGGACUGUAACUGACGCUGAGACACAGAAGCGGUGGUAAG
rnacentral:rRNA from 1 species